GGGAAACUCCCCGGCCCCGCUGUAGGGGGACCUUCAGCGACAGGGCCAGAAAUAAUAAGGUCCCCA
rfam:Rattus norvegicus chromosome 4, whole genome shotgun sequence.